GCGAGAUUAACUCAGUUGGUAGAGUGUUUCCUUGACGUGGAAAAAGCCAGAGGUUCGAGUCCUCUAUCCCGCA
rnacentral:tRNA from 1 species